CGUUGCUGACGAUACGUUGAUCAAUACAGUCAACGCUCUAGGUAGCCAACUUGAACAAUAACAUCUGCAAAAAGCACCAACUUGAACGUAAUGCAGCAUCUGAAAAGCACUAGAGUUCAGCGUGUGGUUAACGUAAGACGUCAUGAGGACGCAUCCCCUUCCAUCUCCAUUCUACAAGUAUAUGACGACAAGACACCGAAGGGUGGCGCUGUUGUCUAAGAAAAGUUGCGAGGCCCCUGAGUAAACUGUAAAACUAUUGCUAUGUCUCCCUGUUGAAAAACAUAACUAUUUAAAAAUGUAUGACUUAAAAAAGGAAGCAAAUAGUAGCAUGAUCUAUUCUCUGUUCAUCAGAGUCUGUCUGCCUGCCUUACUAAUUAUGAUGUAUUAUUCUUUUAAAUAUUAUGUAAAAUGUGUUUUACUUGUCUGAUUCACUUCCUGUAAUUAAACCAUUAAACUAAAAUUAUGUACUACCA